GCUCCUUGAAUAAAAAGUAUAAGGAGUCGUACCUGCCCGGUGGACUACGGUCUAAACGGCGGCAGCUAAAACUGCCCUAAGGUAGCGCAAUAAAUCGUCCUUUAAUUGGGGAAAAGUAUGAAUGGUUUGACGUGGAGCAACUGUCUCAAUUGUAUAGAGUGAAGUUUCCUUUUAAGUGAAAAGGCUUAAGUAUUUGUAAAAGAAGAGAAGACCCUAUCGAGCUUGAUUAAGUUAGGUAAUUAGGUUAAUUUAUAAAUUAUUACAUUUUUAAUAUAGUUUUUAAUAGUUACUCGUUUCGUUUUAUUUUAGUGUUUUAAAUAUAUUAAAUAAUAGAAAUUACUUUUAGAGGUAUUUCAAUAUUUAUUUUGUCAAUCUAAUCAAACUGAAGUUUUGUUGGGGCAACAAAGAGCUAAAAAGAACGCUCUUUAGUUUAUAUGAAGAUCCUAUAUGAUAGAAAAAGAGCAAAAGCUACCGUAGGGAUAACAGCGUAAUUUUUCUUUCGAGACCUUAUUGGAAGAAGAGUUUGCGACAUCGAUGUUGAAUUAGGGGUAUCUUUCGGUGCAGCCGCUGCGAGGAUGGGACUGUUCGUCCCGUUGUUCCCU
rnacentral:rRNA from 1 species